GACGAACGCUGGCGGCGUGCUUAACACAUGCAAGUCGAACGAAGUGGCGAACGGGUGAGUAAUACGUGGGUAACCUGCCCUCCUUUUUGGGAUAAGCCUUGGAAACGGGGUCUAAUACCGAAUAAAGGGGGAUGGGCUCGCGGCCUAUCAGCUUGUUGGGGGGGUGUGGGCCUACCGAGGCGGUGACGGGUAGCCGGGCUGAGAGGGUGAACGGCGACAGUGGGACGGAGCUACGGCCCAGAAUGCUACGGGGGGGAGAAGUGGGGGAUAUUGCACAAUGGGCGAAAGCCCGAUGCAGCCAGGCCGCGUGUGUGAAUAAGGUCUUAGGGUUUGAAAGUACUUUCGCUAGCGAAAGGGUAGGUGGAGAAGAAGCGCCGGCUAACUACGUGCCAGCAGCCGCGGUAAUUC
rnacentral:rRNA from 1 species